CCGUAACGCCGCGCUGUGGGAUGGGGGGCCGCGUGAGUUCGUGGUUCCUGGGGAGCAUUUGUUAGCUUGUGCUCGGGCCCUUUGCGGCUCUGCUUAAAGCGUUGCCCCGGGGCGGCUCGGCUCAGGCCGCGGCAGAGCCCUGCCCUCGGCUCCCGGCCGGGCUGCAGCGGGGAGACGAGCCGCUCGCUGGUUCCGUGCGGGUGCGCUGAGCAAAGCCUUAAUGAGCCUCUGCUGCUCCGUGUGUUCGCACGGGCCGUGCCGUACUCUAAUUACGAAGCGCUGAUUGCGCUGUGUCCAGUGCUUUUUUCGCCCGUACUUCCUAUUGUCCCUGCGUCGGGAGCCUUGUGGUAAGCGGGAAAGCUAUGAGAAAUUCUGAGCUAAGCUGGUGCAGAAAUCGCGUGGCAGCAUGGAAACAGCCUGGGCUCAGCGAUGCCCUUCUUAGCGGGGGCAAUGGGGGUGCUCGCAUCUCGCACGCAGGGUUUCAGCCCACGUGAGCGCCGGGCAGGGGCUGCUGGUGGCGGGGAUGCGGCAGAGCCCCGAGGGGGCACGAACACAUCUCUUGUUUGACUCGAGCGCUGAUCCUGCAGCAAUUAAGGGACGGAUAUCAGUGCUUUUGUAGGCAGGUGUCUGUUAGGAGAAGGGGGUUUAAAAAAAAAAAAAAAAGAAAUCAAAGCCUUGGCACAUCUAAAUUAACUUGUCAAUCUAGUUAACAGAUAACCAAACCUGCAGGAACUCUGUGGGGCUGAAACAACAACACUUAACGAGAACUUACUGUGGGAUUGCAGCUGACUUGAAAAUGUAGCUCAGAGAGAACAGAAGACAAAGCUGGUAAGAAGGUGGAAGGAUUGCAACAGCCUGCGAAGCCAUCUGCUGCAACAAACGUUUGUGGCAAAAGGAGGAAGGAUGUAUCUAGCAGCAACCAGCAGCAGCUGUUCGAGAGGCGAAGCCAAAAGAAGGGCAGUAUCUCCUGUGCUCUGGUUUGACUGCAUUUACUGUUAAGCUGAGAUAACUUGCUGCCAUAGUCUCAUGUAGGCCAUCCAGCCUAGCAAAACACAAAGGCCCUAAACAAAAGGCCAAAAUCUCACGUACCUGCAUGCUGCCAUCUGAAAGACAUCUUCUAAGAGCUCAGUGCUGCGCCAGCCCUGUCUGAUGAAGCUCAGAGGUAAGACAGGUGACUGCUUAGCCAGAGUGGUACGAUGAAGGAUCAGGGCAUGUGUUAAUGGAAGUCAGAGAUUAUUUAAUUGGAAGCCUAACUUAAUCAGCAUAUGUGUCUAGACAUUGAGAUAGAAACAAGGUCUACCCAUAUUCCAGGGAUUGUGCACUAGACAUAGAAUUAUUUAUAAAAGGACUGUUCUACAGGAUUAAUAAGAUGAUAUAUUAAAUUCCAUCUUCUUGACAUUCAUACAGGCGGGUCAGAUUUGGUGUUUUUUCUUUGACUUUAGGUUAGUUAACUGUCAAGACUCAAAUUUCAAACACAUGUAAAUUGUGCUGUAUCCUAGUUACUGUUCUCUGAGUGCUUAUUUUUAACCAGGCACCGAAACUUCUAAAAUUCAAGCUGUUAGUUAGGUGACACUGCAUGGCCAGUAAUUAAUGUCAGUAUAUCAGACUUUCACUGUCUGCUUCAUAUUUAAAGUUAAUGCUUCUGGUCCCCCGAGGACAAGACAAUAUGUGAAAUGCAAGGGAAGGAAGAUAGCGCAGAGGUUUAGACUGUUAAGAAGGCAAGUUCAUUUAUGCUAUGGGCAAAAACAAUGCUUCUAAAUGUUUUCUCCAGUAUUGCCCUGGGUGUCUGAAAGUCAGUUCUCAGCACACUAAGACAAGGUGCACAGCGAAGUCUGAAUGUACACAUCUUCUUGGUGAUUGCUUCACACAGCGAGUGUGCUUUUGGCAUUUCUAUCUUGAGUUUGUGAUCCAUUUAACACACCUGGUUUGUUUGUAACUGCAUGAAGCUGAUAUCAAAGUGAUAAGGAAUUGAGGGGACAGCAUGAAGUAAAGAAGAAUAAAAGUAUUUUGUAUCCAUAUAUUCCCUGGUAGAGAUUCAGAGGGGGAAUAGCAUUAUUUUAUUUUUUUUUUAAGAAAUCACAAACUGUAUGCAGGUUACAGCUGUUAGCAUUGCACAACUAAUGAAUUUAUCCUUUCUUCUGCUCACCACACAAACGUGAUCCUCUGGCAGUGUUGUACAGACUCAGUAUCUGCAAGAGUUGAGAUUUCAUCAAUUCACUCCAGAGCAUAACCAUUCUUACUGUAAUUUCCUCCCUCUCCCAACAUCUUGCUGGAAUUUCUCUUGUUAUGACUUGCAGUUGUUGCCUCCUGUCCUUUCGCAGUGUACCUGCAGGAAGAAUCUGGCAGCUUCUCUAUAGGUGUGUUUAAGGCAGCAAUUGCAUAAUCCCUCAGCCUUUCCUUCCCCAGGCUUGGACAAGCCCCGCUCUCACCCCUGAGGCAGCGCAUGCCAUCAGCUUGACUCCCACUAUAACACCUAAGGAACUUGCAGAUGCUGCUUCCUUGAACCAUAUAUGAGGAACCCUUCUAUUGCCCACAGGUGGGUCUGUGGUUGCAGGAGCUUCUUACCUUAACAGCCAUCUACUGGAUGGCAGUUCUGCGAGGGGAGGGUUACCCUCUGUGAGUUAGGUCUGAUUUUAUUCCAAGUGUACAAAGAGUUAACAUCUUUUGUGAGCUAUUAGGUAUGUAUAAAAGGAAGUAAACCACCAGCGUUUGUAAUAAGUUAUUUUGAAUGCCAUUUGGUCCCAGUGGACAUUCCUGAAAGGCAGUUCUAGCCAGCGUGUCAACUGGAUGCCUUUUCUCUGAAAUGCUGGAAUUCCCCCCAGCCCUUGCCAAGCAAGCCUUUACGACCUGGAAAGUCCCCAGCAUGGGGUGUGCUGGGGUGAGACCUUGGUGCCCAAGCUCCUUCUUGGAAGCUGCAAGGGUUUGAGCAUCCUAGUGCUCAUCAGGCCAGCAUUGCUGGCUGCUGGAUAAAUGCAUGAAUUAAUUCUCUCCUCGAUCUUUAUUAGCAGCUUUCAUACAGCAUUCCAUAGACUCCACAGCCCUAUUAAAUUCCCUGUGACAAUUACAAGAAUUUGCCUUCUGGAAAGACUAAUUCAUGCAAGAGCUUUAAUGAGUGUUUUUCCCCCUCCCUGUAGAUCUGUGCUUAAAAAUCCUCUCUCAUGCUGAUACAAAAACACAGUUGCAGAUUAUAUCUUUAAAAAUACAGUUAUGUUAGCGUGCAUCGCAGGACUGAGUCUCUUAUCAAGCUGGUAAUGAAUUCACUGUUUGCUGUUAAAUGAAUGCUCUGAUUAUUUUUCAAUGCAUUGCAUUACAUACAUUUGCAAUUCCAUUCUUAGUGAGGCUCUGUUGGAAAAUGUGCUGAUAUGAAAAAAAUUAUUUUCAUGUUCUGCUAUCAUUUAGGAGUAAAUGGAGUGUUAUCUUCCAUUUUUUUGUAUAACACUGUAGACUAGCCAUCUGCUCUAGUCACUGCUUUCAUUACUAACAGGAGAAUUUAUUUUUAGGCUCAUAGUGUACAAUGCUCGUAUAUUGAUGCUGAUCCUCAGUGUAUGCUUAAAAAAUUAGCUGUUCUUUAUUAUUUAUGAAAAAAAAAAACCUAUUCAGGAAUAACAGAAGGAAAGCAUAAACAAACUAUCCUUAUUUGAGGAAAAAUCAUGGUUUUGCUUUGUAAGCUACUUUACUUGUAAGCAGCCUAGUGAAGCUGUUCAUGCUUGAGGCAUUUACAGCUCAAGGAAUCCUCAGAAACAUGAGUGAGUCAUCAAAUUAUUCCUCGUUGCUUCUUAGCGAGCUGAAACAAUGAUCAGCCACCUAAGAAUAAAGGAACGCUGUGCUGCUGAUUAUAGGUUAUUGUAUGAGUUAUCAGUGUGACCUCAAUAUUUCACUGAGAUGCAAAUUUUUAAUUACUAAUCUAGACAGGGUUGAUUUUUCUUUUCUUGCUGGUCUUGAGACGUUGUAAUGGGGUGUAAUUUUUCAAAAGAUAUGUUUGUAGCAUAGUGUUAGUACUAUCCUGCUCUGCUCAAGUGUUCCGAGCAAGAAAAAUGGAAAUACUUCAAAUCAUUAGUCACCAGUAAUGAGGGUGCUUGUGGCUCUACUGUGAGAGGUUAAACAACGUCGUUCAGCAGUUGGCAUUCUGGUUAGGAUAAUAGUGCUGUAGCCCUGUGAUAUGUGUGGUGUAGAUGAUAUGAUGUGUUUUAAAUAAAUUGUAGCACAGCUAACAGUAUGUUCAUGUAACGUUGCAGCUGUCAUAGUGGUAAAUCAGUUUUUGUGCCUGACUCUUGCUCAGUGUUAAGAUUAACAAAAACAACUUUUUAAAGAAGAAAGCUCGAAAGCCAUCUUGUGAUGCAAGCAUACUUCUCAAAACACAGUUCAUUUAUGCUUCUCUUUUAAUUGACUGUAAAGCAUAAUUGAACUGCACCUCAAAUGUAUAUGGAGCUGCUCUCUUCUUGAAGGUAAGGUCUGAGGAGUAGCAGAUCACAUUUUUUCAAGAAAUAAGCAUGAGAAUCACUAUCUCAAAAUCAGGACCGUGUCUUUCAGCACACACUCUACUUGUCAAAACUAAUUUUAUGUAUCCUUGAGUGAAGAGUUCUCUCUUUUUUUUUUUCCCCCUCACAACCUUGUCCUAUUUUCCCAUUUUUAUUUUCUUCUUUAAUUUCUUCCUAUUAAUUUUCCCUCUUCCCCUCUUCGUGUUCAUUACCUUCCAAUAUGUAUGACCGAGUACCACUGCUUUUAUAUAUCUUCUAGCCUGACUUCUGAUUUCACUUUGAUUGCCACAACUGUAGGGGUACUUAAUUUAUCCUAAUGCAUACCAUCAUUGGAAUUGUCAGUGUUACCAUAUAAAAUAUGGUGUUGGCCUCCUCUUGGCAUACAGAUUAGUUAGCAUUCAGUGUUGAUUCUAAGAAUCUUAGAGGACCAUUUGAUAGUUAUGUAGGAAUCAUGGAAUCAUUAAGGUUGAAGAAAACCCAGUAAGUCCAUCGGGUCCAACUGCCAUCCCAUCCCCACCACGCCUACUGAACCACGUCCCUGAGUGCCAUGUCUACCCCAGUAAAUAGUCUCCAUAAAAUCAUGCUCAGUUUUUUUUACAGCUGAAAGAAGUAAGUUCUCCUCACUAUUAGUGAAGUUCAUUUCAGUGCUAUAAUCAUAUUAUGUGCCUUUUAAAUAGAAUUUAAAACCUUUAAACUGUGAAUAAUAAAACAAAUUUCAUAUAUUUUAACUGCUGUGUGUUAACAGGUUCCUGUACAUAACUGAUUCCAGCGUUUGGAUUUUAAGUCAUAAGCUUAGCCACUGUGUUUGUGCAUAUUCACCAUCUUAUUAUUUUAUAUGUAAAGCUCAGGAUUUCACCACCAUGCAUAUUCCCCUGCAAGUAAUUCUCUGCCAUAGUGCAAAUCUCUGUGAGCACAGCCUUGAUGAAUUUUUACAGAUAGUUUUAUUCCAGUUGCAUGGCUAAGACAUUUCAUGUAUGUGUGCCAAGCUGUCAGAACUGCAAGGAUCGAAAUGAGGCCAGAGCUGCCACCCUUAGGAAACAGAGAACACGGAGAUUUGAGGGCAUGAUGCUUGAGAGCUGUAAUAUCUUGCUGCGGUGUACUUUUAGGUUUCUUAUUGGAGGACUGGAAUGCUUAAGGAAUGAGAGCUAGUCCAAUGGAACUGGAUAUCGUGAGGCUUAUUUCUGUGAACAAAGAGCAAAACUGUGCCAGUUUGUUUAGGGCAGAACUGGAAGAGUGUCAGGCAUACAGCUAAGGCUGCAUCUUUUUUGUCUGGAAGAGGAAAACCUACGCAUUAUUAGUGCAAUAAUGAAAGUGCUAGAGCAGUCCAGUUGUGAAUGAGUUACACCCUUUGCAUUUUGCUAAUUCUCAAUCAUUUAAAUGUGCUGUGAUCCCUCAGUGUGCAUGCACCAUCUCAACCGUCUCACUGAAUGCUAAUGAGCUUCUACCGAAAGUAAUCACAGAAAGACAUCUCUUCCACAUCAACACCUAUUACCAGCUCCAAGAUUGGUUUGUUAAGCUUACUAGGGAUAUGCCUAGUGCUGUGUAGCUGCCUGUAAAAACUGGAAGUCACAGCAGGCUCUGUGAAAUAGAGCAGUAAGAUGGACUUGAGGACUAUCAUGUCGUGCCCAUAGCAGGGAGAUGUCUGAGUGUUUACCAAAUACAUUGCAGCUAUCCCUAAGGCAGUGUAAAGACAAGGUAAAAAUGAAGGAACAAACUGCAUAUGGAAGUUCAUGUAUUAACAACACGGUUCCUAUAAUUAGAGGCAGGCAGGAAGCAAUAUAUUAAGAACAUGCUUAUAUCUAGCAGUGCCUUAGAUCAGCUCUGAGAUUUUCUCUGCUUCCUCCAGCAAUCCAGCUGACAGAUGGUGUCAUAGCUUUGUGGCUGAGAUCCAGAAGUGAAAUGCAUGUCUUGGGUUUAGCUAUCACUGAAGGGAAUCUUGAGUUGGGAUGUGUGUACCCAAGCUGUCCCCAACUUUUCAUUCAGUCCUUUCUCUUCCAAGAAUUUCCUGUGAUUGGUAACUUUGGGUUCACAACUCAUUUUAAUACUCCUCCUAGGGUUUAGCAUAUCUCUCUCAACACUGUCUUUAGAAACGCUUUUUUUCCUUAGAUGGAGUAAGCUGGAGUCAUCUUCUGCCUUAUGAAAAAUGGGAUUUCUUAAUUAUUCUCCUCGUACAUCAGUAGAAAGAAGUCACAAACCUGCAGUUUACCUAUUGGAAAUAUUUCCUCCAUUUUGAUGUGUUCUUUACACAGUGAAACUUCUUCCAUGUAAGUUGCCAACUCUGUCUUUUAUGAAACUACAGAUAAACAUGUGAUUAUUACUAUUUCUUGUUCAGGAUUAAACAGUCAUAAUCAUACGCAUCCAAGAUGAGAAUGAGCUUAAAAGGAAUUAGGUUAGGAAGAAAUUCUUUACUCAGAGGGUGGUGAAGCCCUGGCAUGGGCUGCUCAGGAAAGCCCCAUCCCUGGAGGCAUCCAAGGCCAGGUUGGAUGGGGCUUUGGGCAGCCUGACUUACUGGGUAGCAACCAUCCCACAGCAGGGCGUUGGAACUGGAUGGGCUCUAAGGUUGCUUCCAACCUAAGCCAUUCUGUGGUAUCAACUUUGGUUUUGGGGAGGCUGUGAUAACAACAGCUGCUUUGCAAGAGCUGGAUUAAUAUACUUGUUGGGAAUCAUCUGAACCAACUUUAUAACUUUUGAUAAAAGCUUCUGUUUUGCUACAGUUCAUUCUUUCAUUGUGCAAUGCAUUUCACAGUUCACAUUCAUUUGCAAAUGUAUAUAUAUGCAUAUAUAUAUAUAUUUAAUCCAUUAUGGCUACUUUUCCCGUUCCAUUCAUCUAUUUUGAAAUAAACAGACUAAAUUAAUUCAAAUGUAUUGCCUCCGAAAUGCCUUUAUUUUUAUGGGAUAUAUAUUACCUCCACAGUGGGAUUUGUGUGGUUCUUGUAGGGGAAAACUAAGUACCCACUUACAGUAUCUUUUAUUAGCCAGAUGAUGCUUUCAAAGUGUUGAGAAAACAUUAGCAAAUUAGUCUUCAUGCCAACACCCAAUAUGUCAGGGGUGUCUUCAUUUUUAUUUAUUUUUUAUCUUCACUUUGCUGUGAGGGUUACUGAGACAUCCCAGAUAAAGCACAUCACAGCACGUUAGGGUAUACUCAUGACCUGGUUUGCUGACUGUACAUGUCAUGGAAGGACUGGUGGCCAUACUAUGGGGCAUACCCCUCAGAUUUGUGUAAUAUUAGUUUGCCACACUAUUUUAACAUUUAAUACUUUAGAAUUUUAAUAUUGGCAACAUAAUAUUUGGUGGGAGUUGGAGUGGAAAAUGUCCAGGUUAGAGACCUUCCAGGUUUCUAUUCACAAAUCUCCUCUGCGAUGAGUUGUUACCAUUCCUGGGGUUUCUGUUUCUUCUACUAAGCUUCUUUUGUCAUUUAUUCUGAGCAGAGAUUGAUUUUCGUCUGAUUUAUACAAGGAGAUCCUCUUCUAUAGUUAACUCUGCAGAGAAGCAUAUAUAUAUUUUUUCAUGGCAAGCUAUUUGAAAUAGUGUGUGUUUAUAACAACAAAAAAAAACUCCCGCUAUCUUUCUGGGUCUACGUCAUGAGCUUUGUUGUCCUGAUUUCUGACCACCAAGGUGUGUGCAUGGCUCCUCCUGUCUUCUCUCAGUUACCCCAUCUUGUUUUUUGCCCAUCUCGUUCCCAUGUAAGUACUUCUUUGCCAGAUAUUUGACUUCCCUGUAUUUAAUUUGAUCCCAUUAGAUCCAGUCCUUCUAUCAUUGCUCGUAAUUUCUCACCCUCUCUAAAUGUUUACAGCAGGGGGGUACUCACCCUUACUUAUCAGUGAACUAAGCUCAAUAUUUAGUGCUUUUGAUUGCUUUUUGAACAUGAAUCACCUCCUCCCCACCUGCCUUCUGAUGUGGGUGCUUUUUUCAGCAUUAGAUGAAUGACAGGACUUCAUUUUGAAUAUUCAUUUAGAAGGCUAAAUUCCCAUUUGUAUUUUGUGAAAGGAAUAUAUGUAUUUCUUAUGUAAUUAAUGCUCGCUUGAGAACAUGAAAACUAAAUUAGACAAAAAUUCGUGCUAGCCUGUACUAAAGGGAGUAUUAAUUGAGUGAUAAAAUGCUUGUUUUCCACCCUCAGUGUUAUUGUCUCAUGGAAAGUGACAAGUUCUAUAAAUGGCUCGGUGUAAAGCUGUACGCUACCUGUUAUUCUCGUUUCCUUUUACCUGAGAAAAGGCUGUAAUGGUACAGUUGUGCGAUACCGUGAGGUUUGACAACAGCCGUGAUGUUGCGGAUCUCCAUUAGAAAGGCGGCAGAGCGAGGGCGCGCCGAGAGGCGGGCGGCCGGCAGCCCCGCGCUGGGAUCGGUGUGUGCGAGCGCUGCCGCUGGGCGGCGCUGUUCCGGCUGUGCCGCGCUGGAGAAUUGGCGACAGAGAAACGUCGUCUGUGCCGAUUAAAGCGAAUCCCGGCCAGGAGCAAAGCCGCCUAUCAAAGCGCGGGCAGGAGAAAGCCCGCCUCGUUAAAAAUCAGCUCGAAGGCAGCCGUCCUGCUCCCUUCCGUCCUUCUGCCUUUCUGCCCCGCAAACGAGCUUACAACUCUCCCUCAGGGCGACAGCCCCGGCGGCUCUGAAGAAAUCUGUACGUGACUAAAAGCGCCGCGCGCAGCUCCAGCUUCCACGCCAGACGAGAUCCGCCACGCGCGCUCGAGCCGAGCGGGAGCGCGCCCCGUCGGGU